GAUGAACGCUGGCGGCGUGCCUAAUACAUGCAAGUCGAGCGAACAGACGAGGAGCUUGCUCCUCUGACGUUAGCGGCGGACGGGUGAGUAACACGUGGAUAACCUACCUAUAAGACUGGGAUAACUUCGGGAAACCGGAGCUACUACCGGCUAAUAUAUUGAACCGCAUGGAUCAAUAGUGAAAGACGGUUUUGCUGUCACUUAUAGAUGGACCCGCGCCGCAUUAGCUAGUGGGUAGGUAACGGCUUACCAAGGCAACGAUGCGUAGCCGACCUGAGAGGAUGAUCGGCCACACUGGAACUGAGACACGGUCCAGACUCCUACGGGAGGCAGCAGUAGGGAAUCUUCCGCAAUGGGCGAAAGCCUGACGGAGCAACGCCGCGUGAGUGAUGAAGGUCUUCGGAUCGUAAAACUCUGUUAUUAGGGAAGAACAAAUGUGUAAGUAACUAUGCACGUCUUGACGGUACCUAAUCAGAAAGCCACGGCUAACUACGUG
rnacentral:rRNA from 1 species